rnacentral:ncRNA from 1 species
AUGUUUUUGUUCAUAUUGACAAAAGAACGAUGACAAUAAAAGUUAAAAUACGCUAAGGAGUGUGUAACAACUCACCUAUCGAAUGGAUGAGCCCUGAAACUGUAAGG